UGAUCUAUUAAAAAUAAAUAAUUGGAAGUGCAAGAAAAAAAAUAUAUUAUGCAAAAAAAUAUAAACUAGUUUGAAAUGCAAGAAUAAAUUUGAUUAUGCAAGAAAAUAUAGACAAAUUGGAAAUGCAAAAAGUAAAAAAAAGAUUGUGCAAGAAAAAAAAAGUUACAUUAAAUUGAUUAAAAUGGCAAUUAUAAAUAUUUUACCUCAUCGGAUAGAUUUUGACCGCUUCGAAU
rnacentral:lncRNA from 1 species